rnacentral:lncRNA from 1 species
AUUGGUCACCGGCAAUGAUCAAGUCUGCUAUCAUCACCACCUCCGACGUGACAAACUCAGCUGGUAAGAACAUAUUAGACCAAUCUGACCAAAGUGUUGCAAGCUUUCACGUCAUGGGUCCCGGUCAUGUCAACCCUGUAAAAGCCAACAAUCCAGGUCUGGUAUAUGACAGUCAACACACAAAAAAAGACUACGUCAAAUACCUUUGUGGUCUUGGUUACACCGGAAAACAAGUAACUUUGUUUUUAGGACAGAAAUCCAUAUGCUCCGACGAUGAACGUAAAACCAUUCAAGGUGUCGAUC